AUGGUAGAGGUGGAUGCCUUGGCACUUGAAGGCGAUGAAGGACGCGCUAAGGCUGCGAUAAGCCUGGGGGAGGUGCCUAAGAACCGUUAAUCCCAGGAUUUCCGAAUGGGGCAACCCAACCUUGAUAAAUCAAGGUUAUCCUAGAUUAAACAAUUAAUCUAGGAGGCGAACCUGGGGAACUGAAACAUCUUAGUACCCAGAGGAAAAGAGACCAAUAGGGAUUCCCUGAGUAGCGGCGAGCGAAAAGGGACAAGCCUAAACCCUACUUUUUCAAUAAAUUAAAGUAGGGGGUUGUAGGGGAAACCAAUUAAGCAAAAUUCAAAUUUUAGCCGAAAGCUCUGGAAUGAGCUGCCAUAGAAGGUGAUAGCCCUGUAGGCGAAAAAAUUUGAAUUUUGUAGGUUUCUUCCUGAGUAUCUCGAUGAAAGAAAUCAUUGAGAGAAGCUGGCAGUAUUACCUGCCAAGGCUAAAUACUUCAAGUGCCCGAUAGCGAACAAGUACCGUGAGGGAAAGGUGAAAAGCAGGUCGGUUAGACCGGUGAAAUAGAACCUGAAACCUCUACCAGACAAAGAACAGGAGCCUGAUUAUUUAUAAUCAGGUGACUGUGUGCCUAUUGAAGAAUGAGCUGGCGACUUCAUAAUACCACCUUGUCUAAGUGCAAUUAAGCACGGAGGCAAAGUGAAAGCGAGGGUUAAGAGCCCGCUUUUGGGUGGUAUUAUGAGACCCGAAACCGAGCGAUCUUACCAUGACCAGAAUGAAUCUCGCAGAAAUGCGAGAGGAGGUUCGAACCCGUUGGUUAGGCAAAACCAUGGGAUGAGUUGUGGUAAGCAGUGAAAAGCUAAUCGCGCUCGGAAAUAGCUGGUUCUUCCCGAAAUAGCUUUAGGGCUAGCGCAGGGUAAAACUGAGUAGGAGGUAGAGCACUAAUUGAUUGGUGAAGGGUUUUUCCCAACUAAUCAGUUAACCUCCGAAUGCCUACUCAGAUUUCCUGUAGUUAGUCUAUGGGGGAUAAGCUCCAUAGACAAGAGGGGAACAACCCAGAGCACCGACUAAGGUCCCUAAAUAUGAGCUAAGUGGGUAAUGCAGUUCUUUGGCUAAGACGCCCAGGAUGUUGGCUUAGAAGCAGCCAUCAUUUAAAGAGUGCGUAAUAGCUCACUGGGAGAGCCAAAGAGCGCAGAAAAUUUAAGGGGCUAAGCUCAUUACCGAAGUCGUGCUUCAAUAUCUAGUUUCUAGAUAUUGAAGGUAGGGAAGCAUUCUUUAUGCGUUGAAGAAGAUUCGUGAGAAUCUUUGGAGCAUAAAGAAGAGAGAAUGCCAGCAGGAGUAACCGCAAUCUCGCUGAGAUGGCGAGACGCCGUAAGAGUAAGGUUUCCUUGGCAAUGGAAAUCAGCCAAGGGUUAGGCGGGAGCUAAGGUAAAACCGAAAGGUUUAGCCGAUGCACAGUUGGUUAAUAUUCCAACCCCACCCUAGAUUAUCCGAUGGGGUGACAAAAGAAAUAAAUCCUUGAGUCUAGAUGGCUUGGGCUUUCUUUUAGGUAGAGGAGGAUAACAGUAAAUCUGUUAUCAUGAGAAAAAACUCACUCCUCGAAUAAAAGAAAAGAUAGCAUUUUUAUGCUAUCAAUAAGGGUGAAGAGCUUUUCAAGAAAAGCCUCUAAGGUUAAAUCUAGGGUGCCCGUACCGAAAACCGACACAGGUACUCAAGGCGAGUAGCCUAAGGCGAACGAGUGAUGUCUCCCCAAGGAACUCGGCAAAAAAGCGGGCGUAACUUCGGGAUAAGCCCUGCCUUAAUAUAAAAUAAAUUUUGUUUUAUAUUAAGGCCGCAGCGAAAGUUCCUCGGGCGACUGUUUAUCAAAAACACAGCUCCCUGCUAAACUCGUAAGAGGAUGUAUAGGGGGCGAUGCCUGACCGAUGCCGGAAGGUUAAGAAAUCGAGGUAAUCCUAUAUUAGGUUUCUAAUGUAGGGUUGCUUGCGAUUUUAAGCCCCGGUCAAUGUCGGCGGUAACCCUGACCGUCCAAAGGUAGCGCAAUUCCUUUCCGGGUAAGUUCCGGAGCGCAUGAAAGGCAUAACGACUUGAGGACUGUCUUGGGGAGAUGCUCGGUGAAACUGCGAUCCCCGUGAAGACGCGGGGUGGUGGCUACGGGACGGAAAGACCCCGGGAGCUUUACUGCAACUACCCAUUGAUAAUUGUUUUUAGGUGCACAGCGUAGCGGGGAGGCUAUGAAACCUUUCUUUCGGGAAAGGUGGAGCCGCCAAUGGAACACCCGCCAUCUAAAAAUAAUUAUCUAAUUCAUAUUAGCAAUAUGAAAACAGUGGGUGGUGGGCAGUUUUUCUGGGGCAGAACCCUCCGAAAGAGUAUUGGAGGGGCUCAAAGGUUAGUUUGCUCUGGAUGGAAACCAGAGCUUAAGUGCAAGGGCAUAAACUAGCCUAACUGAAAGACCUACAAGUCGAUCAGAGGCGAAAGCCUGACCUAGUGACCCGACGGUACUUUGUAAGAAGGCCGGAGACAACGGAUAAAAGUUACCCCGGGGAUAACAGGCUGGUGUGGCCCGAGAGUUCACAUCGACGGCCACGCUCGGCACCUCGAUGUCGGCUCACCCUAGCGCGGGGCUGAAGAAGGUCCCAAGCGUCGGGCUGUUCGCCCGUUAAAAGGGUACGCGAGCUGGGUUCAGACCGUCGUGAGACAGGUCGGUCCAUAUCUGUAGUCACCGUUGAUGCCUUGAGGGAGGCUGGUUCUAGUACGAGAGGACCGAACCGGGGAAGCCAAUGGUGUAUGGGUUGUCUUGCCAAGGGCAGCGCCCAGUAGCCAAGCUUCUGAGGGAUAAGUACUGAAAGCAUCUAAGUACGAAGCCCUUCCCAAGAUUAGGGUAAUGGUUUCCUGGUAGACUACCAGGUUGAUAGGCCACAUCUGUAAGCUAGGUAACUAGUUGAGGAGAGUGGUACUAAUAAACCGAUUUA
rnacentral:rRNA from 1 species